GCAAUCAGUUGUAUAGCUGGUUAAACUAUGCAUUUAGAUGUAUGUUAGCUGCUUCAAAAUAAAGGGGACACGGUUUUUGAUACAGGCAUACAUAAUCGUACAUUCUGUCCAAAAGUGGAGCCACAGUUCAAAAUAGGGUAAAGCUGAGUUAACAGCUCCGACAGGCAGUGGCAGUCGCGGAUGAUCUAUCUAAAUCCGGUGAAUGACGGCUUCUCAAAAUAAAACAGACAUUGCUGAUGGCUCGACGACGCACUCCACAACGAGCUUGGCAAGGAAGAGGUUGUCAACAAGGAGGCGCUCCCUAAGCCCUGAAACUGCAGUAAACCAGUGGAGCAUCGACGAGCAGGCCUCCAUCUUAAGUAUCUGAAAAAAACACAAGCGGAAGCCAAAUGAGUCCACACUAUUUGAUGGUUUACAAGUGGUAGCAAAAACCAAAAGAAAAAUUGGCCCACAACUUAACUAUACAUCUACAAAGAAGCAUUUCAUCCGCAUCUGAAACUUAAGAAAGAUCUACUAACCAACGACCAAUAGUUUCUGAUCCUUUCAUUAACAAAAAUAAUAGGCGUUUUUAGACAAUAUAUAAGUGCAGCUUGCUGCUAAGUAAUCUGCAUCUUUUCUAAGAUGCACACUCCAACAUGUUGGACUAUACUUAAUGGUUACCGAGAUAGAACAAUGCAGGCUGGUCAUAAACAAACAAAAGAUAGGUAACUAAGAAGAUGCCAAGAUCAUGAGCUAGUUGUGUGUACAUAUGAUAGAGAGAGAUGGUACAUUCAUGAGCUAGCUGAGCGACCUUUGCCUCUCCUAAGGAGGACGGAGCCGAGCUUCUGUACUGCCCGCGCACACUAAUCCAUCUAGGUAAUACACAAAGCCAGGUUUGGGAGCGGCAUGCCUUGCGUCCUUCAGUGGUGCACCUCUUUAGUGUUUAUACGUGUGCACGUAUCUUGCUUAUGAACAUUCAUGUAUAGGGAACAUAAACAAGAGCCAUACAUUGGUAAAUUUAAACCUUCUGCUCCAUAGAGAUACAAAGGAAGAUAAAAAGAGCUCCCUACACGAGGUUGGUGGCAGCGGAUCUCGACUGGAGGAGGUGUUGGGCGACAAGCGACCUUGUCGUGCUCCGAUCUAGGUAGAGUGGUCGCCAGGCACGCCAGCCGACAUUUCUUCGUCCGCCGAACGUAACAUAACAAAUGACAAUAAACUGAAACUAAGGAGCUGUUCGGGAUCUCUCCGCUCUGCAACUCCGCUGCGGAGCGGAGCGGCAUGCAGUUAUAUUUCGGUGAGCUGCUAACAGGGUGCUCCGUGAGCUCCGCUCCAUAGCGAAGGAGCAGAGGGUUGCCGAACACAGCUUGAAACAUAGAAUUGUAACUAAGUAGCUUAAAUAGAGUGAACAACAGAUGGGAAAUCAAAUGCAUGAAAUGAUUGCACGCGGAGAGAAUUGGUUGAGUUAAAUAUGUCAUUAGUAUAUUAGUUGGUUGUCAAUCUUCUGAGGGGAAAGAUGUUGGCAGAGGUUUGUCUUGCUUUCAUUCGUCAUCAAGAUUUUUCUCAAGGAAAAUUUUGAGACCCCCCACAUUCUAGUUGUUUAAGCUGAACUACUUGCACUUGUUUUGUAUUUAACUGCCUAAUGCUAUCUCUACUGCAGCAACUUCUCUUAAAGUUGACUCUCAACAUAAAUUACAUGUUGUAAUGCUAGCCACUACAUCGCUAAACAAAGUACGCUUGUGCAGGGUUUAAUUUUUGCAUGUACCUUGUAGUUACGAAGGAAGUAGCUGAAG
rnacentral:lncRNA from 1 species